AUAAAAAAGACCUGCGGACUUUACAGCCGCAGGUCCAUGGGAUCCGCUUUGAGCGCGGAUCCUGAAUGGGAGAGGAGAAACCGGAGGAAGAGCUUAUGGGGAAACGUAAGUCUUCUCCGCGG
rfam:Desmospora sp. 8437 genomic scaffold SCAFFOLD1, whole genome shotgun sequence.